rnacentral:rRNA from 1 species
GACGAACGCUGGCGGCGUGCUUAACACAUGCAAGUCGAACGGAAAGGCCCUGCUUUUGUGGGGUGCUCGAGUGGCGAACGGGUGAGUAACACGUGAGUAACCUGCCCUUGACUUUGGGAUAACUUCAGGAAACUGGGGCUCAUACCGGAUAGGAGCUCCUGCUGCAUGGUGGGGGUUGGAAAGUUUCGGCGGUUGGGGAUGGACUCGCGGCGUAUCAGCUUGUUGGUGGGGUAGUGGCUUACCAAGGCUUUGAGGGGUAGCCGGCCUGAGCGGGUGACCGGCCACAUUGGGACUGAGAUACGGAGCAGACGCCUACGGGAGGCAGCAGGGGGGAAUAUUGCAGAAUGGGCGGAAGCCUGAUGCAGCAACGCCGCGUGCGGGAUGACGGCCUUCGGGGGGUAAACCGCUUUCGCCUGUGACGAAGCGUGAGUGACGGUAAUGGGUAAAGAAGCACCGGCUAACUACGUG